UCGAUGAAGAACGCAGCGAAAUGCGAUAAGUAAUGUGAAUUGCAGAAUUCAGUGAAUCAUCGAAUCUUUGAACGCACCUUGCGCUCCUUGGUAUUCCGAGGAGCAUGCCUGUUUGAGUGUCAUGG
rnacentral:rRNA from 1 species